GCCUGGGGGGGCUCAGUCGGUUAAGCAUCUGACUUCGGCUCAGGUCAUGAUCUCACGGUUUGUGGGUUCGAGCCCCACAUCGGGCU
rnacentral:tRNA from 1 species